GCCCGCCUAGCUCAAUCGGAUAGAGCGUCAGACUUUUAUCCGCUCAUCGGUAAAUGUCAUCUGAAGGCUGCGAGUUCGACCCUCGCGGUGGGCU